rnacentral:lncRNA from 1 species
GCAUACAAGUGAGAUGUAGGGGUACAUCAUUACUGAAUAAGUGACUCACCUGCUGAGCGUUCUACUGUCAAAAACUGCUCGCAAAAUACAUGGGUGUAAGUAUCCUUCAAACCUGAGAUCACCAUAGUGACUUACAAGCAACUCACUAUGCUUGGGUGUCGGACUACCUAGAUUUCUAAUGCAGUGGUGGAAGGCUAUUGGGUACAGUCAAGUACUUGCGAAGUCUGUGUGUAGAUCA